GACGAACGCUGGCGGCGUGCUUAACACAUGCAAGUCGAACGGAAAGGCCCUGCUUUUGUGGUGUGCUCGAGUGGCGAACGGGUGAGUAACACGUGAGUAACCUGCCCUUGACUUUGGGAUAACUUCAGGAAACUGGGGCUAAUACCGGAUAGGAGCUCCUGCUGCAUGGUGGGGGUUGGAAAGUUUCGGCGGUUGGGGAUGGACUCGCGGCGUAUCAGCUUGUUGGUGGGGUAGUGGCUUACCAAGGCUUUGACGGGUAGCCGGCCUGAGCGGGUGACCGGACACAUUGGGACUGAGCUUCGGCGCAGACGCAUACGGGAGGCAGCAGUGGGGAAUAUUGGACAGUGGGCGGAAGCCUGAUGCAGCGACGCCGCGUGCGGGGUGACGGCCUUCGGGUUGUAAACCGCUUUCGCCUGUGACGAAGCGUGAGUGACGGUAAUGGGUAAAGAAGCACCGGCUAACUACGUG
rnacentral:rRNA from 1 species